UCUUCCCUACGGGACGCAGCAGUGGGGAAUAUUGCACAAUGGGGGAAACCCUGAUGCAGCGACGCCGCGUGAAGGAAGAAGUAUUUCGGUAUGUAAAGCCCUAUCAGCAGGGAAGAAAAAUGACGGUACCUGACUAAGAAGCACCGGCUAAAUACGUGCCAGCAGCCGCGGUAAUACGUAUGGUGCAAGCGUUAUCCGGAUUUACUGGGUGUAAAGGGAGCGCAGGCGGCACGCUAAGCCUGAUGUGAAAACCCGCGGCCCAACCGCGGGAGUGCAUUGGGAACUGGCGGGCUGGAGUACCGGAG
rnacentral:rRNA from 1 species